GACGAACGCUGGCGGCGUGCCUAAUACAUGCAAGUCGAACGCAGUGGGGACGGGUGCGUAACACGUGGGUAACCUCCCAUCAGAGGGGAUAACCCUUGGAAACAGGUGCUAAACCGAUAUUGAUUGAUGGACCCGCUGUGCAUUAGCGAGUUGGUGAGGUAACGGCUCACCAAGGCCACGAUGCAUAGCCGAACUGAGAGGGUGAUCGGCCACACUGGGACUGAGACACGGCCCAGACUGCUACGGGAGGCAGCAGUAGGGAAUAUUCGGCAAUGGACGAAAGUCUGACCGAGCAACGCCGCGUGAGUGAAGAAGGUGUUCGGAUCGUAAAACUCUGUUGUUAGAGAAGCGGUAUCUAACCAGAAAGCCACGGCUAACUACGUGCCAGCAGCCGCGGUAAUUC
rnacentral:rRNA from 1 species